UAUUUAGCCUUCCUCAUUCACUUUCUCACUUCUUCACUUCUUAUAACAGAAGAAAAAAAAUCUCAUCGCCCCCACCACCGUCGUCUCCAGCACCCCCACCACCACCACAAUUUCUAUCGCCGCACCACAACAAACACCACCACCUUCGUUCGUCACGUCCGCUACUAAUAUCAGCAGAUCUAUCAUUUUUUGUGUUUGAUUUCAACUGAUUUCUAAACCAGAUUCAUGAAUUGAUAUAUUUAUUUGGGUUUCGAUUUCGAGUUGCCGAUUCAAAUCUGUUCUUUUUUCUAAACCAGAUUCGAGUUUCAGUUUCAGAUUUCAAAGAGUUAGAUUUAGUAUGUAUGAUUUUCAAUUUUGAUUAUAGAGUUUUCUGAAAAUUUGAUUUUUGUUGAUUCACAUAAUUUCUUUUCUUUAUUUCGAUUUAAUUGAUUUCGAGAUUGUUGAUUCAGAAAUUAAUUUUGUUGAAUCUCACUCAAAUUCAUAUCAAAUUUUAUAUAGGUUUUGAUUUCGGUGCGUUUUAUUAAAAGUUGUAUGAUUUUUGUUGAGUCUGUGCAACUUCUUGUUCCCUGAUCUGCAAUCAUGGGUAUGGUAGUGGGAUCUUUAGCUUGUGCUGGAAAAGUUAAGAGGAAAACUCCUAGAGGAAACGGUAGAGCUCACAAGAGAAUGCAAUACAACAGACAUUUCAGUAUUACUGGUAACAUAUCAUCUACUAUGUAUCAUUUAAUUCUAAGUUUCUUUUGGUGAAAAUCAUAUCAGGGAGCAUUUGUAUGGGUGUAUAUUGCUUGUUCCAAGCGAUAACGUGCGUUUUUGGAUUGAGUUUUUUUUUUUUUUUUUUUGUAUUUGAGUGUUGUAGAUUGGUUGAAUGGUAUAUUUUGUUAUAAAAACUGCUUUAGUGUGGAAA